rnacentral:rRNA from 1 species
AGCAGCCGUGGUAAUUCCAGCUCCAAUAGCGUAUAUUAAAGUUGUUGCAGUUAAAAAGCUCGUAGUUGAAUUUCGAGAUCAAUACGUCGGUCGUGCUUCGGUACGUACUGGCAUUGUUGGUUUCUCCCUUCUGACGAACCAUGAUGUCAUUUAUUUGGUGUCGUGGGAAAUCAGGACUGUUACUUUGAAAAAUUGAGUGUUUAAAGCAGGCUCGCGCUUGAAUACAUUAGCACGGAAUAAUGAAAUAGGACGUUUGAUUCUAUUUUGUUGGUUUCUAGGAUCGACGUAAUGAUUAAUAGGGAUAGUUGGGGGCAUUAGUAUUCAAUUGUCAGAGGUGAAAUUCUUGGAUUUAUUGAAGACUAACUACUGCGAAAGCAUUUGCCAAGGAUGUUUU